UAGCAUGCUAGUUUAGUAGCAUACAUCAAGUCAGUUAACAGCCAAUCAUUAGCAUGAUGAUAGCAUUCAGCAGUAGCAAGUCAUCUUACAGCUAAUUAGCAUUAGUAUUGAAAUCCGAAUGGACAUUUACUGAUACUGCUGGCGCCCUAUAGGUGAGUGCAUUACGCUCCUGUCAAGAGGUCGACCUUUAUGGCACAGGUGGUAGUGUGCUUGACCCUCAGAGUUGCCGGUUCAAGCCGCACUCUGACUGCCCUGCCUACAUUGCUACAAAAUCAAAAAUGUAUUCAAAGCACACCGGAGUAUGCUGCAAUAUAUCAACAACCUUUGCUGUGGCCUUUGGAAGGACAGAAACAGGUGAAAUGCUGGAAAGACACAUUAGAAAAUAAGGAUUGCGAACCCACCCAACAGCAAACUCAACCUCUGCCUUGCUGUAAAGCAAGCCUCUCCAAUUCAAAAAGGGAGAGUUACUACAUCCAUUAAAUGAAUGAUAUAUACCCAUUGAUUCUGGAAGAAUAUAACUUCUAAAAGCCUCAUGAGCUUAGUUCAGCUGUUGUACCCCAUCAUAACCCAAAAUAUAAGCUUGUUUUACUCUAUUCUCUCGUGGACAGACUACCAAUAUAUCUGUGGUAGAUGUAUCAUGACAGAACGGGGAGAGGGAGAUACCGAGCAGCAUCUGUUCCGGUGUUUGGGUUGUUCCUCACUUGUUAUUUGGACACAUUUUGCAGGUGUUAUCGUUUAAAUCUCCGAAGGGGAGGGGACAUUUGGCCCACAGACUUGCCAGUAACUUGCAAAGAUCUCCUCGUUCUGGUCCCACUCUUAGUUCUAGCAUCUCUUCAUCUUAACACGUAUGGACCCAGAACUGAGCAGCUGACCACUUACAUGAGACUUUAGUUUGUAAAACAAAGUAAACGUAAACAAACACUAUUUGAGAGUGGUUACAUUUCUCCAGCCGCAUCCCUCAGCUUUUACCGAAACAGGGGCGGGGAUCGACUGUGUUAUUAUUUCAACAUUGCCCCUUUAAAAACACCAUUGUUCUAAAACAAGACCAGGCCUAGACUUUCUACUCCAUUUAUACAGAGAACAUCCUCAGUCAAAGGGGUUUCCGACCAAGCAAGCUCAUGGACGCACACACACUGCUGAGGACACCCAGGUGCUGCAGGCUUGAUGUGCACACACACUGCUGAGGACACCCAGGUGCUGCAGGCUUGAUGUGCACACACACUGCUGAGGACACCCAGGUGCUGCAGGCUUGAUGUGCACACACACUGCUGAGGACACCCAGGUGCUGCAGGCUUGAUGUGCACACACACUGCUGAGGACACCCAGGUGCUGCAGGCUUGAUGUGCACACACACUGCUGAGGACACCCAGGUGCUGCAGGCUUGAUGUGCACACACACUGACAUGCACCUCUUCCCUUUCUCUCUCACACCCGUCUGCAUGACACACACUUCCACACUGUUUGCCUUACA